CAUGAACCUGGGGACAGACCCAAGUGACCCGAGAGUGCAGCUCCAUCCUGUGUCCUCCUGGAGACAGUCACAGCGGUCUGAAGCCAGGUCCCAUCCCGAGGAACACGGAGCCAGUGUGCUGUGGGAGCUGGGCCGGUGUUGAAGUUGGCUGGUUGCUCCUUAGCCACAGCAGUUCUCGUGGAGAUGGGAGAGGCAAGUCCCCGUAUCAUGCAGGACACUUGACAAGGGAUGUCACGUCAGGAUGAGUGACAGCUAGAGGAAACUAAAAGAAG